CCGGGGGCACGGACCCUGAAAAGAAGGUCAGCAUGCCCAAGAAACCCCUUUCUCUUAAGGAAGCAAUUGGACUUCCCUGCUAGCUGGAUGGGGCAGGAGGCGCCACAAAGGAAGUGGUAUUUUUUUUGGCCCUCGGUGGUUCCCCGCAGAGGGUGUUGCCUAGUCCCAGUGUGGUUCUGGGUGUGGCAGGGAGGGGCCCAGCAACAAGUCUGAGUUGAGAGGAGCCUAACCUUGACAGCAGUUCCAAACCAGGAUCAAGAGCCCCACGCACAGCACUGGCUGGCAGUUCCAGAGGACCUGGACUCAAUUCCCAGCUCUCACACAGCUGCUCAUGACCAUCUGUGAAGUCCUGUCCCAGGGGAUCUGGAUGCCCACUUCUGACCUCAGCAGGUACCAGACACUCACAUGGUGCACAAAUGUACAGGACCCACGAGGCAGCUCACAACCAUCGAUAACUCCAGUUCCAGGAAUCUGACGCUCUCUUCUGACUUCUGCAGACAACAAGCACACAGUGGUGCACAGAUAAAUAUACAGGCCCAACAGCAAAGCUCUGGAAGGAUAUCUGGCCUCGCCCAGCCCUGGGCCAGAGUUCUCGCCAACCAAGCUGCUACUGCAGUAGGCUUCCAGAGGCCUCUGCUCCCUGCACUGUUAGCACCUGGGCAGGCAUAUCCCUGAGGGCAGCUCCUGGCUCUCCACCAUCCUCCUGGGCCCUGAUCUCCACGUGUGAGUGUCUUUGAGCCUUGGCUGGCUGUAGGUGAGCCCUAGCCACUCUGAUCUUCUUGGCAUCCCCAACUUGACUCCUCCAGGUUUGAAUUCCUGGACUCGCCUUGUCCUUUUCUUGUUGGGUCUCUUCUUCACAGCGUUCAAGUAAAACCAGUUUCUUCCACUCCUUGCUCCAAAAGACCUUUGCCCUCCCCACAGGUAAUGCACCAACUGCCCCUUGAGCCAGGUCCAGUGCUGGGCAGGGUGGUACGGGGCUGUAAUAAAGCACUCAGGAGCUUGAGGUAGGAGGAUUGCUGUGAGGACAAAGUCAGAUUUAGCAAAAUGAGGAAACCCUGUCUCAAAAGAGGGUGGGCUGGCAAGAUGACUUAGCUAGUAAAAGUGCUUGUUUCUAAGCCUGCCAGCCUGAGUUCCACCCCUGAGACCUACGGAGUGGAGAGAGGGAACCGACUCCUGCAGGUUGUCCUCUGACCUCCACACGCGCACCAUGGUGUGUGCACUCCCACACAGCCUGCUUGGAGUCCUUGAAGGUCAGAAGAGAUAGUUGUGUGUCACAGGUAGGUGCUGGAGA